rnacentral:misc_RNA from 1 species
UACAGAGGGUGCAAGCGUUAAUCGGAAUUACUGGGCUUAAAGCGUGCGUAGGCGGCUUUUUAAGUCGGAUGUGAAAUCCCCGAGCUUAAAUUGGGAAUUGCAUUCGAUACUGGGAAGCUAGAGUAUGGGAGAGGAUGGUAGAAUACCAGGUGUAGCGGUCAAAUGCGUAGAGAUCUGGAGGAAUACCGAUGGCGAAGGCAGCCAUCUGGCCUAAUACUGACGCUGAGGUACUAAAUCAUUGGGAGCAAACAGG